rnacentral:rRNA from 1 species
AGAGUUUGAUCCUGGCUCAGGAUGAACGCUAGCUACAGGCUUAACACAUGCAAGUCGAGGGGCAGCGGGAUUGAAGCUUGCUUCAAUUGCCGGCGACCGGCGCACGGGUGAGUAACGCGUAUCCAACCUUCCGUACACUCAGGGAUAGCCUUUCGAAAGAAAGAUUAAUACCUGAUGGUAUGAUGAGAUUGCAUGAUAGCAUCAUUAAAGAUUUAUCGGUGUACGAUGGGGAUGCGUUCCAUUAGGUAGUAGGCGGGGUAACGGCCCACCUAGCCGACGAUGGAUAGGGGUUCUGAGAGGAAGGUCCCCCACAUUGGAACUGAGACACGGUCCAAACUCCUACGGGAGGCAGCAGUGAGGAAUAUUGGUCAAUGGACGAGAGUCUGAACCAGCCAAGUAGCGUGAAGGAUGAAGGUCCUACGGAUUGUAAACUUCUUUUAUAAGGGAAUAAACCCUCCCACGUGUGGGAGCUUGUAUGUACCUUAUGAAUAAGCAUCGGCUAACUCCGUGCCAGCAGCCGCGGUAAUACGGAGGAUGCGAGCGUUAUCCGGAUUUAUUGGGUUUAAAGGGAGCGCAGACGGGUCGUUAAGUCAGCUGUGAAAGUUUGGGGCUCAACCUUAAAAUUGCAGUUGAUACUGGCGUCCUUGAGUGCGGUUGAGGUGUGCGGAAUUCGUGGUGUAGCGGUGAAAUGCUUAGAUAUCACGAAGAACUCCGAUUGCGAAGGCAGCACACUAAUCCGUAACUGACGUUCAUGCUCGAAAGUGUGGGUAUCAAACAGGAUUAGAUACCCUGGUAGUCCACACGGUAAACGAUGGAUACUCGCUGUUGGCGAUAUACUGUCAGCGGCUUAGCGAAAGCGUU